rnacentral:tRNA from 1 species
ACCCUCAUAGCUCGGGUGCCUUCUAAGCACUUGGCCGCAGGUUCGAGUCCUGCCGGGGGCA